UGGGGAAUAUUGGACAAUGGGGGGAACCCUGAUCCAGCCAUGCUGCGUGUGUGAAGAAGGCCUUAUGGUUGUAAAGCACUUUAAGCGAGGAGGAGGGUACUGGUAUUAAUACUACCAGCUACUGGACGUUACUCGCAGAAUAAGCACCGGCUAACUCUGUGCCAGCAGCCGCGGUAAUACAGAGGGUGCGAGCGUUAAUCGGAAUUACUGGGCGUAAAGCGCGCGUAGGUGGUUCGUUAAGUUGAAUGUGAAAGCCCCGGGCUCAACCUGGGAACUGCAUCCAAAACUGGCGAGCUAGAGUAGGGCAGAGGGUGGUGGAAUUUCCUGUGUAGCGGUGAAAUGCGUAGAUAUAGGAAGGAACACCAGUGGCGAAGGCGACCACCUGGGCUCAUACUGACACUGAGGUGCGAAAGCGUGGGGAGCAAACAGG
rnacentral:rRNA from 1 species